GAUGAACGCUGGCGGCGUGCUUAACACAUGCAAGUCGAACGAUGAAGCCCAGCUUGCUGGGUGGAUUAGUGGCGAACGGGUGAGUAACACGUGAGUAACCUGCCCUUAACUCUGGGAUAAGCCUGGGAAACUGGGUCUAAUACCGGAUAGGAGCGUCCACCGCAUGGUGGGUGUUGGAAAGAUUUAUCGGUUUUGGAUGGACUCGCGGCCUAUCAGCUUGUUGGUGAGGUAAUGGCUCACCAAGGCGACGACGGGUAGCCGGCCUGAGAGGGUGACCGGCCACACUGGGACUGAGAUACGGCACAGACUCCUACGGGAGGCAGCAGUGGGGAAUAUUGCACAAUGGGCGCAAGCCUGAUGCAGCGACGCCGCGUGAGGGAUGACGGCCUUCGGGUUGUAAACCUCUUUCAGUAGGGAAGAAGCGAAAGUGACGGUACCUGCAGAAGAAGCACCGGCUAACUACGUG
rnacentral:rRNA from 1 species